GCGCGCAGGCGCGCAGCGGCCGGCCGGAAGCGUGACUGGCGUGUGGGCCGGCGGUGGGGGGAGCGCUGCCGCCCCGCUCCGCCCCGCCUGCCUGCCCUGCCGGUCUGGCACGCCGCGGCCCCGGGAAGAUGUUGCCCCUCUCCAUCAAGGACGAUGAGUACAAGCCGCCCAAGUUCAACCUGCUCAGGAAGGUGUCGGGCUGGUUCAGGUCCAUCCUGGCGGACAAGACCUCCCGCAACCUCUUCUUCUUCCUCUGCCUCAAUCUCUCCUUCGCCUUCGUGGAGCUGCUCUACGGCAUCUGGAGUAACAGUUUAGGUCUAAUAUCAGAUUCUUUUCAUAUGUUUUUUGACUGUACUGCUCUAUUGGCUGGAUUAGCAGCAUCAGUUAUUUCAAAAUGGAGGUCGAACGAUGCCUUCUCAUAUGGAUAUGUUCGAGCAGAAGUACUUGCUGGUUUUGUAAAUGGUUUAUUCCUCAUCUUUACAGCAUUCUUUAUUUUUUCUGAAGGUGUUGAGAGAGCACUUGAGCCUCCUGACGUGCAUCAUGAGAGACUUCUUCCUGUUUCUAUACUAGGAUUCAUUGUAAAUCUUAUAGGAAUAUUUGUUUUUCAACAUGGAGGUCAUGGGCAUUCGCAUGGCUCUGGGCAUGAACACAGCCAUUCUCUAUUUAAUGGUGGUCUCAGCCAUGGACACAGUCACGGAGGUCAUGGUCACAGCCAUGAACAUAAACAUGGCCAUGGACACAGUCAUGAUCAUGGCCAUAGCCAUGGGCACUCUCAUGGUCAGGAUUAUUGUCAUGAUGACCAUUCUCUUGAAGGGAUGGCUGGAUCCAGCAAACAGAUUUUACAAGGUGUAUUUCUACACAUUGUUGCAGACACGCUUGGAAGUAUUGGUGUAAUCAUAUCUGCUAUAUUGAUGCAGAACUAUGGUCUAAUGAUAGCAGAUCCUAUUUGUUCAAUGUUGAUAGCACUACUUAUAGGUGUAAGUAUUGUUCCGCUUUUAAAAGAAUCCAUUGGAAUUUUGAUGCAGCGAACUCCUCCUUCCCUGGAGAACGCCCUGCCUCAGUGCUACCAGAGGGUGAGCUCUUGGGCCAUUUUUGCUUCAAAUCAAGGUGCAGCAGUUGCAAGGAGUUUACAGUUUACAUGAUCCACACUUCUGGACCCUCUGUACUGAUGUUUACAUAGGGACAUUGAAAUUAUUAGUAGCUCCUGAUGCUGAUGGAAGGUGGAUUCUAAGCCAGACUCACAAUAUUUUCACUCAGGCAGGAGUAAGACAGCUUUACAUACAGAUUGAUGUCGCAGCCAUGUAGUGAAUUUCUGAAAUUGUGCUGUUGGACCAAAGUUUUCUGUACUGUAUUGGUGUAAGAACAUACUUCUCAAGACAGAGCCUGCCUCCGCCACUGUUCCGGAAUUGACUGAGUAGAUUUCUGCCCUUGGGCUAUGGAUGGAGUUCACUUCUAAGGAGUAAAUAUUGAAUGAAUGUUAUGGACUUUGGGUCUUGUCUUUUUGUGGCCCCUAAGCUUAAAAAUUUUUGAGGGUUUUUUACUUACUGAUUGUGGUACUGGAAACCCUGUCAUGUCUUCAGUAAAGCUGCUGAAACCACUGCUCAUUCCCAUAAAACCAGUGUUAUCAACAAUUGGAAACUUGUUUUGUAGAUAAUGUCACAGUGGCUGACAUGCUUCAAUAUAAUUGUAUGUUUCUACAGUUGUUUGUACUUUGCAAACUUAAUGAACCAAACCAUAUUGGGUUUUCAAAGUGCCUUUUAUAUCAGGAGGGGAAUUUGCCAGCAUAAAUAUGGAGCAUCUAAGGGUUUUAUUACUUUUACAAAUAUCUUGUUUGCAGUCUGAUUAUUUACUAGUGAUGUAUGUGGGGGGGGGCUGUGUACUUGCGUAACUGUAGAUGUUAGACUUCCCUUGUACUUGCGUCUUACCAAACAGACAGAAAAAUACUAAAUGUAAAAGGCAAAGGUAUUGUGAAGAGACUUCCUUCCAAAGCAAGCUGGAUAUUUUGUUGCACAUAUCUUGUGGAAGUUAUUUUAGUCAAAAUAUUAGAUUUCAUUCCAACUAAUUUGUCUCUUCAUACUGUUAAGAGUAAUGAGACAUUACAUGAUGCUGCUCCUGUUCACAGUCACUGAAACAACAGGCAGCUGAGGGAAGAUGCUGGUGGUGGAAGGAACGCUUGAGGUUUUUUAUCUUCCAAAGUAUGUGGAGGGAAAAAUGAAAUCCCUAAAUUGUUUGUGAAAGCUUAAAUCGCCUUGAUUUUAAUAGGUUGUAAUAAUUUUUAUUAAAGUGAUUGGUGAGAUAACUUUUGGCUUUCCAAAUAUUGAAAAUAGUAGUUUCUGGUGGUUACACCUGAAAUGGAAAUAAGGACCAUGGUUCAUGCUAUUUAAAAUUAUGCUUUUUCCAGGUGGACAAGUCUAACAUUUUUGACUGUCUUACCGUAGCCAUGUGUGUUUUCGUGGGGGGAAAAAAAAUAAUCCCCAGUGCAGUAAGUUGUUUUUUCCAGAAACAUCAGUCUGCCAUAUUUUUCUAGCAUUUAAAAUCAUUUUACACUUUCAAGAUCUGAGCCUUGUUUUCAAAGACAAUCUGCUAGAUUUGGUAUUACAGAUGAUAAUUCCACUAUGCUUGUAGUAGUCAACUUAGUAAUGGAACAGUUCAUAAGAGGACAUUUUACAAACAGAACAUUGUGGAGUAAAAAAAAACCAAGACGGGGAUUUUUCUGAUAAAUCAUAGCUGUUACUAACUGAUACAGAUUUUAAGUAUUCUUCUGGUACCUGGUACGUGGUAACACUGAAAUCAAGGCCCUCUGAAGCUGACCAUGUCUGCGUAGUAAGUGCUAGGCACUAUGAAAGUACCGUAGAUUUAUUUGCAGAAGUGGUUUGUUUGCCACUGGCGCUGCUGAGUUCAUGACAGAGAUUAAGAACGUUUUGCAUUCCUACUUCAUGUCGUUCCUAUAUAGCACCUGAAUUGUGAUCUCUUUUGAUGUGAAAGCACGAUGGUUGCCAAAUUGAUAGGUGGUUCCUGAAUUUUCCAGAUGAGAUAUCGAAACAUGAAUGUUGAUUUUGUACAAAGCUUGAGGUUGUACUCGUGCUUGGAAGUGAAAACUGAGUGUAAAGAAAAAUAGCGGUAAAAAGCCACAUACAUAUUGCUUUUAAGCUUUACAGACUGUUCCAGUCUUCAGAUCCUUUAUCCCUACUGCUGGUUCCUGCUGGUGCGUGGUUCUCCUGGGGACGUGGGUGCAGAGCGCGUGCCCUUCCAGCUGGCUGCACUGUUCCACGUCUCUCCUGGCCUCCUGCCGGCGCCCCAUCGGCCUUCCACCGUCCCACCUCGCUGAUGCUCUGCCAGGCCCGGAAUUCCUGACUGGAGGGUGGGAUCUGAAAGUUAGACGGCACGGGGUAAGGCGCAAGAAUCUGUUGAGCAGAUUUGAGUUUCGCAGUUGAAGAUACCAUUUGCAUAUAUGUUCACAGAAAAGGUAAUUAAAAUACGGUUGUGAUUAUAGGGCGCAGAUCCCUCAUACUGUUUUGUAGUAUGUUGCAUAUAGAGUGCUUUUUGUCGGCUGACAGCAUGAUUUCUUGAUUUUUAUUUUUUUUUAAUAGUUAAUAUUACUACUGUUUGAGGCUAGAGACGAUCAGCUGAUAUCACUUUAAAGGCAGGCACCAGCCAACUUCAUUGCAAUUGUGUCAUGAUCCAAGAGCAGGCUUUGGUUUAUGUCAUUUUUAUACCAGCGUGUUUCGGGACUGAGUGUUCCUGAACUUGCUGAAGUACCGUAGUACUGCCCAACAUGCUGGGCUUGGCCGCUAUUUUAGUCUUCUUAAUUAAAAGACAACUCCUGUCGGUUUCCAAGUGACAAUCUGCCUGAGUGACAACUGGGGGUUUUUUUGUUGUUUUGUGGUUUUUUUUUGUGUGUGUGUGUGGUUAAAAUGUACAUCUACCAACUUUUAAAAUAUGGUAAAAAGAGUGAAAAAAGCCUGUAAGCUGGUUAUAAUAACAAAAUACUGAUUUUAAUAAUUUUUUGGUAUCUUUUUGUUGCUUAUGAGUACUUAGCUGACUGUUGGAAGCCUAUGUACAAGUCUGAGUUUCCUAACCAAGAUAACAAUUUCUUCAUUAUUUUCAAGGACAACUUGAUGUUUUUACAGUAAGAAAUAUAUCAUUUGUUAAAUAUAAUUGAGGAUAGUGUAGGGAAUUCAGAUUCAAAGUAGACUUUAAGCCUUUUUAGGUUUUCUGGAAAAGGGUAAGGAUCACAAAAUUGUGCAAAAGGCAGUAGAUGACGUGUCCAGGAGGUAACUACCAUCACAUCUAGUACAUCAGUAAGCAGCGGGACAUUUGUUCUAUUUUAUUCACCUACUAAGGGGAUAUUUGCUCAGGUUUUAGGAGAGUACAAAUCAUACAAUUGGAAGUGCAGCUUUUCUUCAUACUGAGAGUCAAAGCUCCAUUAUUUUUUGUUUUGCUAAUUACCCAACCCUUAGUUUGUUAUAUAAUGGUUUGCUUUUAACACUUUAUUGGGGAUGCAUCACAUCAUUUAAAUAAAGAUUUGCGUGAAUGACUGACAUCCAGAGCUGGAUGAAUGUCCGCAGACCAUCUGCUAAAACUCAGCUUCCUGGUAUCCAGUACUGAAUUUUGAGCCAAGUUUUCAAAGUAUGAUUUUCUCAUGUUUUCGUGGGGUUACUGGUCUGCCUUUGUGUGGUGGUGUGGUGGGUUUUUUUUUCUGUGACUGAAAACAGUAACUUAAAACCAUAUUGUCCCAACGACCAAGCCUGCAAACUGCAUCAUUUUUACAGGACCUACAGCAAAAUAAGAAGAUAAAACAAGUGCUGCAGAGUGCCUGUACUAAAAUGCCCCAAAUGUUUGUCAUGGUGAAUAACGGGAAGAAAAUGACUUUAAGAGUAUGCAGAGUGAAGCCUGCUCCAUCGUAGGCUGAUCCUGUAAGCCUGUACAUAUGGACAGACUUGUUCCUUACAUCAGCAGGGCCCCUACAGAGCAUUACGUUACUUGGGCAAUUUGCUGAACUAAAGCAAAAAGUGCUGGUCCAAAUAAAUGACUCUGCUUUUUAUGUAAUCCUGCUUACUAAAACAAAAGUUUAAUUGCAUCAUUAGUAAGAGCUGCUGACACUAUUUUUACAUAAAAAUUGAAACCGCUGCUACUAAUAAAGUGGACCUUAGUGACUCGUACUGUUCUUAAUAUUUUUUUCCUGAAGAAGUAAAGCCGGGUGUAAAGGUGACGGAAAGAAAGGGUGUCUCCUUUUAACUGUUGUAAGGGAACCUGUUUUGGGAAUAUCAACAAGAUACAAGCGGGGGGAGAGGCUGCUGCUGAAUGGCAGUUUCCCACCCUUUGCACCCACUGUGCAACAACCGAAUAGUGAAGUUCCUGGCUUUUCCCUCACAGGGCAGAUUUCAGUUGCAGAAACCUUCAUGCUUCUAGAAAAUGCAAAUCCUAAUCAAUACUCACGUAACAGAUCUUUAAAUACCAGUUCAGAGCAACAGCUUUAGUUACUAAUUAAGCCCUGUCCUGUUUUCCCCGGCAGCCACCAGACUGCCACUGCUGGGAUUCCUGAUUAUCCCACCCCUUUUAAGCAUGUUUGGGAAUGAGUAUAAGGGAUUUUCUUUUUUUUUUUUUUU